AGACCGAUAGCGAACAAGUAGAGUGAUCGAAAGAUGAAAAGCACUUUGAAAAGAGAGUUAAACAGCACGUGAAAUUGUUGAAAGGGAAGCGUUGUCCACCAGACUCGCCCGGGGGGGUUCAGCCGGCACGUGUGCCGGUGUACUCCUCUCCGGGCGGGCCAGCAUCGGUUUGGGCGGCUGGUGAAAGGCCCCGGGAAUGUGCCACCCUUCGGGGUGCCUUAUAGCCCGGGGUGCCAUACAGCCAGCCUGGACCGAGGCCCGCGCUUCGGCGAGGAUGCUGGCGUAAUGGUGGUCAACGGCCCGUCUUGAAACACGGACCAAG
rnacentral:rRNA from 1 species